ACGUGGGUGAUCUGCCCUGCACUUUGGGAUAAGCCUGGGAAACUGGGUCUAAUACCGAAUAGGACUACGCGAUGCAUGUCGUGUGGUGGAAAGCUUUUGCGGUGUGGGAUGGGCCCGCGGCCUAUCAGCUUGUUGGUGAGGUUACGGCUCACCAAGGCGACGACGGGUAGCCGGCCUGAGAGGGUGACCGGCCACACUGGGACUGAGAUACGGCCCAGACUCCUACGGGAGGCAGCAGUGGGGAAUAUUGCACAAUGGGCGCAAGCCUGAUGCAGCGACGCCGCGUGAGGGAUGACGGCCUUCGGGUUGUAAACCUCUUUCGCCAGGGACGAAGCGCAAGUGACGGUACCUGGAGAAGAAGGACCGGCCAACUACGUGCCAGCAGCCGCGGUAAUACGUAGGGUCCGAGCGUUGUCCGGAAUUACUGGGCGUAAAGAGCUCGUAGGUGGUUUGUCGCGUUGUUCGUGAAAACUCACAGCUCAACUGUGGGCGUGCGGGCGAUACGGGCAGACUGGAGUACUGCAGGGGAGACUGGAAUUCCUGGUGUAGCGGUGGAAUGCGCAGAUAUCAGGAGGAACACCGGUGGCGAAGGCGGGUCUCUGGGCAGUAACUGACGCUGAGGAGCGAAAGCGUGGGGAGCGAACAGGAUUAGAUACCCUGGUAGUCCACGCCGUAAACGGUGGGUACUAGGUGUGGGUUUCC
rnacentral:rRNA from 1 species